GAAAUGCGAUAAGUAAUGUGAAUUGCAGAAUUCAGUGAAUCAUCGAAUCUUUGAACGCACCUUCCGCUCCUUGGUAUUCCUUGGAGCAUGCCUGUUUGAGUAUCAUGAAAUCUUCAAAGUAAAUCUUUUGUUAACUCAAUUGGUUUCUACUUUGGUAUUGGAGGUCUUUGCAGCUUCACACCUGCUCCUCUUUGUUCAUUAGCUGGAUCUCAGUGUUAUGCUUGGUUCCACUCGGCGUGAUAAGUUAUCUAUCGCUGAGGACACUGUAAAAGGUGGCCAAGGUAAAUGCAGAUGAACCGCUUCUAAUAGUCCAUUGACUUGGACAAUACUUUUAUGAUCUGAUCUCAAAUCAGGUAGGACUACCCGCUGAACUUAAGC
rnacentral:misc_RNA from 1 species